rnacentral:lncRNA from 1 species
AUUAUUCAUCUUGAAUUUUGAAUUAAGGAUUUAACUAACACUUUUCAGUAUUGAUUUUUUUUUAAAAUAAAAUUCGAAAAUCUUUGCAAAGAAAAUGUUUACGAUAUUUUUAUCUAUUAAGUUAAUAUACCUUGCUCAAUCUCUGGAAACACUCCUCGUAGUUGAAACGGGGUUUUGAUCCCCAAGGACGCCACAUUUUGCAAUAAAUUUUAUCUAUAUUUUUGAACGUUUUCAAAUGAGAUGAUUUGAAUGAAAAUUUCCCAACUUUAUGUAGAUUUCUCAUAUUUCUCAACUGGCUUCAAUUAUUACAAACAAAACUAAAAGUUUAUUUAACAUUUUUUUCCAAAAC